rnacentral:rRNA from 1 species
UGCAUCGAUGAAGAACGCAGCGAAAUGCGAUACGUAAUGUGAAUUGCAGAAUUCAGUGAAUCAUCGAAUCUUUGAACGCAUAUUGCGCUCUUUGGUAUUCCGAAGAGCAUGCUUGUUUGAGUAUCAGUAAACACCUCAAAGCUUUUGAUUUUUUUUCAAAUGUUUUGGACUUGAGCAAUCCCAACACCAAUCUUUUUUAGAUCGGCGGCGGGUUGCUUGAAAUGCAGGUGCAGCUGGACAUUCUCCUGAGCUAAAAGCAUAUUUAUUUAGUCCCGUCAAACGGAUUAUUACUUUUGCUGCAGCUAAUAUAAAGGGAGUUUGACCAUUUUGGCUGACUGAUGCAGGAUUUCACAAGGGUCGGCAACGAUUCUUGUAAAACUCGAUCUCAAAUCAAGUAAGACUACCCGCUGAACUUAAGCAUAUCAAUAAGCGGAGGAA